UACGAGGGAUGCAAGCGUUAUCCGGAAUUAUUGGGCGUAAAGCGUUUGUAGGCGGGCGAGUGUGUUUAAUGUUAAAUCUUAAAGCUCAACUUUGAAAUUGCGUUAAAAACUGCUUGUCUUGAGUAUGGUAGGGGUAAAGGGAAUUCCCAGUGUAGCGGUGAAAUGCGUAGAUAUUGGGAAGAACACUAAACAGCGAAGGCACUUUACUAGGCUAAUACUGACGCUGAGAAACGAAAGGUAAGGUAGCGAAACGGAUUAGAUACCCGUGUAGUCUUACCCGUAAACUAUGGACACUAAACGGUAAAUUUUUAAUUUACUGUUAAAGCUAACGCGUUAAGUGUCCCGCCUGGGGAGUAUGCUUGCAAAAGUGAAACUCAAAGGAAUUGACGGGGGCCCGCACAAGCGGUGGAGCAUGUGGUUUAAUUCGACGGUACACGAAGAACCUUACCAGGAUUUGACAUGCUAGAUAGUUGCUUGAAAGAGUAACGUGCCGUAAGGAAUCUAGACACAGGUGGUGCAUGGCUGUCGUCAGUUCGUGUUGUGAAAUGUUGGGUUAAGUCCCGCAACGAACGUAACCCUUGUCUUUAGUUAUUUUCUAAAGAGACUGCCUGUAAUAAACAGGAGGAAGGUAAGGAUGAGGUCAAGUCAUCAUGCCCCUUAUGUCCUGGGCUACACACGUGCUACAAUGGGAAAGACAAUGAGCUGCAAAUCUGUAAAUUUAAGCAAAUCUCUUAAACUUUCUCGUAGUUCGGAUUGUGGGCUGCAACUCGCCCACAUGAAGUUGGAAUCGCUAGUAAUCGCCAGUCAGCUAUAUGGCGGUGAAUCCGUUCCCGGGCCU
rnacentral:rRNA from 1 species